CUGGUCCUGGCCAGCCACUUGGCCUUUCCUCCUCCAGUCUUGGCAUGGAUCGUGUUUGCCAUAUUUCUGCUCGUCGCCGGUGCUUUUCUGAUGCUUCCCAGCCCGACAGGCAGCGCCCUGAGCUGUGCACUGCGAUCCAGCCUCCGGGUACAGGAUGCUCCUUUCCCAGCCGUGCUGUGCCCUGCUCCUGGCUGUAACAUUUUAUGAAGAUGGAUGGAUUUUCAGUCGCACAGAUGCAUAAGUGCGUCGUGCUUGCAGUUUGGUUUUGCUCACCCUGCAGUGCUGUGUAAAACUGCUGCAGCAUCACAAGCAUGUGGGUGGCCACUGAAGAAAGGGGAAAUAUGACAAUAAUUUGUUUUUGGUCGUGCCUUGGAACAGAAGACAAACAGGAAUCUGACCACAUCCCCCCGCACUCGGCAGUGAUUUGAAAUCCACAGCACGCGGUGUGCUGAGGCAGUGUCCUGCACUGCAAGGGGUGGGACCAGCAAGCAGGAAUUCUGAUUUUUUAAUGCAUCAUGAACCAGCUUACUGGAGUCUAUCUGGUGCUGCAUCUCAACUAAACAUCUCAAAAUGCAGGGGAACAGGGAAAAAAAGAACAGAUUUGAAAUCAUCAGCAGCAACGCGGUUUACCCAGGGUUUGAAUGUGAUGGAGACGUUCUAAAUCCUGGAGUGAGUGACAGAUUCAGGUGGCAAAUACUCUGGAAAGAAGCCCAGUGCCGGUGGUCCUGGCGGUGCCAGAGGGGCAGGGUGCUGCCCUGCAGUGCCUGUGAGAGGCUGAACUGGAAUCCCAUAUGCUGCAAAAAGAUCUGAUCCCCGACACAGGCUGCUCUUUCAAGGUCAUUUCAUUCUGCUUCAGGGUGCAGGGAAUUGUAUUUCUGAGCUUUUCCAGAUUAAGGGACAUAUGAGCAGCAGGCCUGAAUUUCUCCUUGGCUUUUUGUGGUUUUUGCUUAGGCUUGGAAUGUCACUCAAGAAGCUUGUGUUUAAGUCAGGAAACCUGGACUGUGCACAAACACCAAGAGACACCCUUACAGGGCAGCUUGCUGCAGAGCAUUUCAUACACAGUGCAAGACGCUCUGGACUUAGGCUCUGUGAGACUCACGGAAGGGCUUGCUAUAUCCUUACCAAUUUGCAGAAGAGCACACCUUGCCUUGGCCUGCUGCAGACUGUCUCUCUUGGGGCGGGACUGGCAGAGUGUUUUACUCGGCUGGCUCGCCACACGAAGCUGUUGCUUCGUCGUCUUUUCAAACCAAGCCUCGGUAUCUUCCCUCUGGAAGAAUCACCUCCGCUGAACAAAUUACUAAAUUUAGUAGCGAAAUAACAGGCUCAGAUUGCAUUUUGCUGAAGGUCAGAUUAGAGUAUCUAAUGGGGUUGUCUGGCUUUCACAUCUAAAUGCCAUUUGAAAUAAGGCUGCUGAGCACCUUUCGGUCUGUGUCGGUGUGCAACUGACUGUGCUUUGUCACUUACCAGUAACAACCCAGUAAUUCUGCAAUUCCUGUGAAAGGGGAACUUCCCAGGGGACUUUCACUGGUUCCCAGUGCCUUGUGGAGAUUAUCUAGAAGAAGAGAUUUAUAGAAGCGCAGAGUUAAAGAUUCACAAGCAGGUGUUAUCUCAAAUGUGCUGCGCAGCUCAUAUCCAUGCCAACAGAUCAUGGACAAAAUACAUAAGCUGCUCUUCCCAGGGUGUCUAUUCAACAGGCCAGCUGCUUUUGUCACGGGUGCACGAAACGGGAGUAUCUAAUAAGGAAGCACUUUGAUGUCACUGAGCCUAGCUGCCAGACCAGCUGCGACAAGGGCAAUGCCUUGGGACACCGCGCUGCGAUGCUGCAGGGAAUAAAGAGCUAAGGAGGGCAAAUGUUCA
rnacentral:lncRNA from 1 species